AUUUUGUCACACAAGUUCUCAGUAGACUAUUAUAAAUAUGUUGUACUAACAAAAUAUCUGAACCUAGGCUCCAAGGCAAGGUAGCACUAAUCACCGGUGCUGCUAAUGGAAUAGGCGAGUCAACCGCCAAACUGUUCGCCAAACAUGGAGCUAAAGUUAUGAUUGCAGACAUCAAUGAUGACUUGGGAGAGAAGGUAUGCAAGGAAUUGGGACAAUCAUCAGCCUCUUUUGUCCACUGUGAUAUAACUAAUGAAUCCGAUGUAGAAACUGCAGUUAACACAACUGUUUCCAAAUUUGGGAAAUUAGAUAUAAUGCACAAUAAUGCCGGUAUUGGGGGGAAAUCAAAUCCAAGCAUUCUUGAAAUCGAAAAAUCAGAGUUCGAAAAGAUUAUUAAUGUAAAUCUCAUAGGUGCAUUCCUGGGUGCUAAACACGCUGCUCGAGUGAUGAUCCCUAAUCGCAGUGGGAACAUAAUCACAACAGCUAGUACUUGUUCGAAAAUAGGCGGUGGUUCUUCACACAAUUAUGUAAGUUCAAAACAUGGGGUGGUAGGACUCACAAAGAAUAUGGCUGUGGAGCUUGGAAAAUAUGGCAUUCGAGUAAACUGCGUGUCACCACACGUAGUUCCUACACGGCAAUCAAAGGAUUUCUACAAAAUGGACGAUGAGGGAUUUGGUAGUGUAUAUUCCAUCCUCAAAGGUGUUUUUCUUAAGCCAGAGGAUGUGGCUGAAGCUGUUAUGUUCUUGGCAAGUGAUGAGUCAAAGUUUGUGAAUGGACACAACCUUUUUGUGGAUGGUGGCAUCACAGUUGCGAAUUCCAAGUUUUGCAUGUUUGAGUAAUUUCCAGAAAAUAUUUCCCUGUUAAGUUAUGUUUAAUCAACCUAUUUCUCCUGUUUAUCUUAACUUUAUGUAAAUAUUGAUUUUAUUACAAGGCAAUUGCAGAAAGCCAACUUUAUUUUCUGAUAUUUUAGAUAAUGUCCUCCAGUAAAUGCACAUGGAUCGACGACUUAAAAGUUUUUGAAUGAAAAUUAAAAAAUAUGAAGAUCCAGUUGUUUCG
rnacentral:lncRNA from 1 species